rnacentral:rRNA from 1 species
GACGUAGGGCGCGAGCGUUGUCCGGAUUUAUUGGGCGUAAAGAGCUCGUAGGCGGCUUGUCGCGUCAACUGUGAAAACCCGUGGCUCAACCAUGUGGUCUGCAGUCGAUACGGGCAGGCUAGAAUUCGGUAGGGGAGACUGGAAUUCCUGGUGUAGCGGUGAAAUGCGCAGAUAUCAGGAAGAACACCCGUGGCGAAGGCGGGCU